rnacentral:rRNA from 1 species
AUUGAACGCUGGCGGCAGGCCUAACACAUGCAAGUCGAGCGGAUGAAGGGAGCUUGCUCCUGGAUUCAGCGGCGGACGGGUGAGUAAUGCCUAGGAAUCUGCCUGGUAGUGGGGGAUAACGUCCGGAAACGGGCGCUAAUACCGCAUACGUCCUGAGGGAGAAAGUGGGGGAUCUUCGGACCUCACGCUAUCAGAUGAGCCUAGGUCGGAUUAGCUAGUUGGUGGGGUAAAGGCCUACCAAGGCGACGAUCCGUAACUGGUCUGAGAGGAUGAUCAGUCACACGGGAACUGAGACACGGUCCAGAGUCCUACGGGAGGCAGCAGGGGGGAAUAUUGGACAAUGGGCGAAAGCCUGAUCCAGCCAUGCCGCGUGUGUGAAGAAGGUCUUCGGAUUGUAAAGCACUUUAAGUUGGGAGGAAGGGCAGUAAGUUAAUACCUUGCUGUUUUGACGUUACCAACAGAAUAAGCACCGGCUAACUUCGUG